CGGGUUUUAGUAAUUUUGAUUUUUUAAGAUCGUUGCAACUAGGUCUAACUAGCCCGUACCUUCGAUUUUGAAACUGUUAAAGAUUUUGAAUGUUUCCAUUGAUGAAUGUAGUGAUUUUUUAUGUUAAAUGAUGAAUUUUAAAUAUUAUUUGUUAUUUAAAAGUAUUUUGUUAAGUGAUUUUUGAUGAAUUUAUCGAUUAGGGACUAAGUUGCUAAAUAAUAAAAGUACAAGGAUUUGAUGUGAAAUUUUUGAAAAAAUGGGCUGAAAGGGAGGCUAUGAAUAUUCGAAUAGUGUAAAAUUUCAAUAAAAAUGGUUAAUUUGCAUGUUUUAGGCUCAGGGACUAAAUUGAAUAAAAGUAAAAUUUUAAGGGCAAUUAUGUAAAAACAUAAAAUGACUAAAUUGCAUAAAAUGCAUUGUUUUAAUGUCUAAAUUAAUAGUUUGAAUAAAACUAUUAAUUUAGAUCAAGAUCGAGUGGAAAGUUAAAGAGAAUGAAAAAUUACCAAAAUGCUCUUGAACUUUGUCAUUUAUGCAAUUUAGCCAAGUAAAUUCAUAACUUGGUUAGUACAAUUAAUUACUUUUUCGAUAAAUUAUUAUCUAUUUGUGUAUAUAUGUGAAUAAAAUUUGUUAACUUGAAGGAAACAAAUAAAACCAGGGUUGAAAGAUACUAUGGCAACACAACAUAAAAAUGUACAAGACCAUGGUUAGACCAUGGCAAUGUUUACGUAAGACCAUAGCGAGGCUAUGACAGUUUUUUAGAUGUAAGACCAUGGUAGGACCAUGGCUAUAUAUAUAUAUAUGUAAGACUGUAACGCCCCAAUUUUCGCGAAUUCUGUGAAUGUUGGCAUAGGUUUAAUUAUGUUAGUGGGCCUUUAGAAGGCCCAAACUUAAGAUAGAACCCAAUAAUUUUAGUUAAUUUUUGUUCCAUAAGAAAAAGGGAGUGAAAUUAUGAAAUAGGACCUAUGUGAAAAUGUUUGAAAAUGCUAUAGGCUAAUUUGUAGUGGCCAAAUAAAUAGUAGUGCAAAAUAGAAGGAUUUGCAUGUCAAAUUCCCCACUUUUAAUGUAGUGGUCGGCCAAGGUGAUGGAUAGUUGAUAAUGUAUGCAUUUUAGCAUUUUAAUAGUUAAUGGAUGAUGGGCAUUAGCAUUUUAAUAGUUAAUGGAUGAUGGGCAUGGUAAGCAUUAUGGGCAUAUUUUUAUUGGAAUUAUGGCAUGAGUAUGGCACAAAUAUUAGUAUAUCAUUUAUGUGUCAUAAAAUGUUGAGUGAUAAGAAUAACAAAAGGAAGUAAAGGAAGGUUUUUGUUCAUUCUUUGUUCUUCAUAGCCGAAUUUGAGAGAGAGCAAAUAGGGGAGGAAACCCUUGAAUAUUCGAUCACUAGGAGGGGGAAAAAUUGAAGGUAAGUUCUUGGUACUUUGCUUCUAUCUUGAUGUUCAUGAGUUCUUCUUGAUUCUACCCUAACUCAUGAAGCAUAUUUUGGUUUUUGGUUGUUGUUUCAUGUUCUUUUGAUGAAAAAUGGAAGAUGGGUGAAGUUGAGCCAAACAAAUGAUCAUGCAUGUGCCUUAGAUGCUAAAGGGAAAAAUCGGCUAACAUGUUGUGCUUUAAAAUGAUGAAAUGGAGAUUAUGCUUAAGCAAAAAUCAUAGAUAUGUGAUGAUUGAUUGGUGAUAUACAUGUUUAAAUAACAUGCAUGCAAGAUAGGUGUAUGAAAGAGUGAUUUGGUAAUAAAUCUGCUUGGGACAGCAGCAGUAACGUGACUUUGGAAAAUCACCAUAAAUUGUGGGAGAUGAAUUCGAAGCUGAAUAAAUUAUGUAAUUAAAGCUUAAUGAGUCUAGUUUCAAAUGAAAUAAACGAGAACAUAUUUUGAAUUCUGUACAAUGAGAAAUUUGAUUUGUAAUGAAGAGUGGUCAGAUUAGUCAAACAGUGAAACAUGGGAAACUUUAAGAAAAAUCUGGUAUUGAUUGGACAUACCAAAAAUUCUGAAAAUUUUAUGGAUAUAAGAUAUAUGAGUCUAUUUUCAGGGAAAAUUAACGGCACUUGAUUUGGAGUUUCGUAGCUCCAGUUAUAAAUGAUUUAGUGACUGUUGCUCAGGAAGACAGCUUGCAGUGAAAUUAUGAUUAUGUGGUAAACAUUGACAAAAAUUUGUUAAUGAGUUGCUUAUUGAUUUCUUAUAAGCUUACUAUGAUCUGUAGGUGUGGUUGGCCGAAUAUCGUAAGGGGUUAAUACGUAGUUUGUAUUUGAAUAGUUAGAUUAACGUGUUAGUAAUCCAAUUGUAGGCGGUUCGUGUGUGGAUCUCGUCAGCAUAUCGUCGCAAAUAGGUGUGUAACUAACACCCUCUUUCUUAGUCUAGAUCGGCAAAAGUCGAAAUGCCGAAAUGCCGAAAACCGGUAUUUUGUAGAUUUGCGAGUGUGCAAAUGCUCGUGAGGUAAAUCGAUUAAUGUUUUUGGUAAGCUGCAAUGUUUGGACUGCAAAGUGCAUGAUUUCUGUGCCCUCGAUAUUUUUGGGCUUAAUGGGCCAAAAUUGGAAUGAUGGGCCAACGGGCCCAAUUCGGUAAGAACCCUCGGUAGUGAUUCUGUUAGUACGUGAAAGGUAGGAAUAUGCAUGAAAAACCCUAAAAUAGAUAAAUUACUGAAAUACCUUUAAAAGUGGAAAAUUUAUAGUUUUACCCCUAAGAGAUAAAUUACCGAAAUACCCAUAGGUUUAAAUUGACCUAAAUGCAUGUUUGACUGUUGUUAUUUACUGCAUGCCAUGUUAUUAUUAUCUGAUGCAUGGGACUGGGAUAUUGACAGAGGAAGUACUGAAAGUGGCUUGUCCACAUACUGGAGGCUUUGCCUCAAUUUACUGUUAACUGAGUAGCAAGGCUGCAACUGUGGAGUGUUGGGCUGGGUGGGUUGAGUUAUUCCCCACAUGGAGUGUAUGGCUGGUACGGGUGGAGUGUAGUGGUUGGUGGGUUUAGUAGUCUCCCCAAAUGGGCUUGCAUAUGUUUACUGAUGUUGCAUGUAUUUUGAAAUGGGCCUAUGGGCCAUACUGUUAUCUGAAUAAGGGGCUAAGACCCAGUUUAUUGUAAUCUGAAAAGGGCUCUGGCCCAGUACCACUGUUACUUGAAUGGGCUUAGGCCCAAUGGGCUUGAGCUGACUUGGGCUUUGAAUGGGUUUUCCUUACACACUGAGUUUCCCCAAAAUCACCCUUCUUUAACCUUGCAGGUGAGCCUUGAUGUGAGUGACUUGGAGCCGGAGGGGAUUCAGAGUGGCCAUGGUGAAUACUUUUAGGUUUGAAAAAAAGAGACUGGUUUUCUUAAGUUAUUUUUAAUUACAAUUUAAUUUUUGGGUUGUAAUAAGGCCAUUUUAACUUUAUUUUCUUAUUUGUUAUAUUAUUAAAAACAACUUUAAAUUGAUGGAUACUAAUUCAAAUGGGCUAGACUUAGGGCGUGAUUUCAAAACGAUACUUGUUUUUUUAAAAUAACACGAUGUCACGAAUAUUCGAUUUACCAAAGAAAUUUCAACUUGUUAUAACCAAGUGUGGCAAUGGAUGUGGACAUGUCUAGGAUUGGAUCCAAUCGGAGAGCUUGGUACUUAAGCAGCCUUCAUGGCUCACCUCCUCUGUUAUGGAUACCUACCUGGUGCCCAGCUUCCAUUCACUUUAACCUAUAAUGAAAUUAUCUUUUAAAACACUAAGUAGGUUUUUCUGGAUCAACAAUAUAAAAUGUUUUGAACGCUUCGAUGUGGCAUGUCGGAUCCGGCCAUAACGUCUGGGCCGGAUUUGGGGUGCUACAAAGACCAUAGCUGGGCUAGGACAUUCUAAUGAUAAAACUAUAACCGGGUUAUGGCACUAUGAGCGUAAGACCAUGGCAAGGUUGUGGCAGUGCACAUGUAAGACCAUAGUUAGACUAUGGCACAAUAUGAAACGUGUACUGGGGUUUCAAUUGUCUUUACAGUGUUCAUCGAAUAUGAAAAGGGAUGGUUUCGAUCGUCGAUUAAAGAAGAAAAGAUGAUUUCGACCAUCAUUUAGUACACUUGUAUGAGCUCCAAUAAGGGUUCCGAUUGACUUCACUAUGACAAAUAGGGAAAGGUAUGAUAUACCAAUGAUCAAAGUAUGAAUAUUCAUGAUUAUGAAAUGUAUGAUUUAAGUGAUGUUAUGUUUAUGUACCAUAUCUUGCCAUGUGAUGAUAUUGUUAAGUUAUGUGUUUAAUCACUAGCUUGUGGCUAAGGUAAAUGUUAUGUUUAUGUCUUUUGUGUUAUACAAAUGAAAUGGUAAGUGUUCGAUAUGAACCAAGACAUGUGUGUAUGAAACUUAUUGAAAUGUUGAUACAUGGAAAACAUGAUAUAUUAUGAAGGAUGAUAAAUCCAAUUGGAUCAUGCUCAAGUAUAAUGGUUAUCUAUGUUAAGUUCACAUGAGUUAUAUUCAAUUAUGCUAACAUGUAUUGUUGUUGGUGCUUAGGCUUGUGCAAGUUUAUGAUUAAGUUAUAUCAUGUUUAAUCUUAAUGAAAAACAUUGAAAUGGUAAGUGCUUAAUUGGUAACAUACUUAUAUCCAUGAAAAGGUGGAAUAAAUCAAAGUAUGUAAUUUCUUAUGCAAUGGUUGAUUAUGAAGUUGAUUCCAAAAAAGCUAUGUUUAAAUGCACUAGCUUGUAGUCAUGGUUGAUGUUAUGCUUACAACUUGUGUGUUAUUCAUAUGAAACGGGUGAGGAAAUGUAAUGAAAUUGUAAAUUCAUAGUUGAAAUGAAAUUUGAUGAAAAGAGAGUAAUGAGUUUGAAUAAUGUAUUAUAUUUGAGAAAUUUACGUAUGUUAUGGAUGAGUAUACCUAUAUCAUGGAUAAAUACACUAAGUCGGGAAUUUAUAAUGUUGUUUAGGCUUAUGAUAAGCUUUGGGAACAGAAUGAAAAGAGAGUAAAUUGAGAAGUGUAUAAUCUUAUAGAAAUGUUGUUGAUUAUCUAUUAAGUCCCAUGAAAUCCUAUCAUGUUAUGAAUGAUAAAUAUAUGUGACAUUAAUGAACUUAAUCAUUUGUGAGUUGUUGAUCAUAUCGAUUUAUGAAUCUUAUGGCAUUGGCAUAGAUUUAUGAUUAUUAUAUAAAGUUUAUUAUUGAAAUGGAAUAUUAUACUUAAAGUUUAUACGAACUUACUAAGCAUACAUUGCUUACGCAAUUAUUUUUCCUUUACUUUAUAGAUUAUUAAAAGCUCGACCGGGUUGGAAGCGAGUCGGAGAUUCAUUACACUAUCCAUCGAAUUUAUCAAUAGAUUUUUAGGUUUUAGUCAUGGUUAUAAUGGCAUGUAUAGGUGCACUAUGUCUAAUGUUUAAUUGAUGAGUUUGGCAUGUAUAUGUCAUUUUGGUUGAUGAUUAUGGCAUGAAAUGUUGCCUUGGAUUUGAGUUAGUUAAAGUACUAAUGAUGUCUUGUUGGUUGUGUAUAAUAUGAUCAAAUUGAUGCAUGGUUUUAUGGCCAAAGUGGUAUGUGUUGACAUGUAUAUAUAUGUGGUUUUGUUGUAACGCCCCUAACUCGAAUCCAUCACCAGAAUAGAGUUACGGAGCAUUACCAGAGUUAUCGAUAUAUUUAUCAGAUAUUUUGUUUCAUCUAACGUUCAUAUUUGGAACCAAUUAAAAUCAAACAUAUUGUCGCUUAAACGUAUUUAUUUUUCUCGACAUGUUUUACUUGAAUUUAUUACUCGUCUCAACAUACUUAAUUUCCUUGUAUCAACGUAUAAAAGAUAAUCACAUAUUUACAUGUCAUGAUAAAUAUCAUUCUCUUUCCAUUUCUUCAUAAACGUAAAUCAGAUAAUUCAUUAUAUCAAUAUUUCAUGCAUUUAAAAAUACAAUUCAAGUUACACUAACUUACCUCAUUGCUUGUUCAUAUUUGUAAUUUCAUUAAUCCGAUAUCUUUUUUUUACACGUUCAAGUCUCGUAUUCGAGUCAUUCAGAUCUUUAUAAAUAAAUUUGAUCAUCGUUUUCAUUUAUUUCAUGUUCUAAUACAUUCAAUUAAUACUCUAAACAAAAUUAUCAUUUUGCCCCUAAACUUUUUAAUUAAUGACGAUUUAAUUCUUAGGCUCAAAAAAAUAAAAUUCUUACAAUUUAAUUCGUAUUUCCAGCCGUUAUUCUCAUACAAAUUGAUAACAACCCAUGUGUAAUAACCUAAAUUUGCCCAGGCCUUAAACAAAUAAUAAAAAAAUAAAGGAAUAUUUAUUUAUUUAAACAGUCCAUGUACAGAGCCCAAAUUACAAUAUAAGCCCACAACCCGUUACACUCUUUGACCCAACUCGGUAAAACCCAAAGACCCGAUUACAUUUUUUAGCCCAACUGAACACUUAAAACUACCGAAAACCCGGUUAUACCCAACCCACAAGUGGACGGCCCAAGUAGACCCAAAACUCAUGAAGGCCCGAGAGGCCCAAAACUUAAAAUUUCCAGCUAGGGUUUCCAACCCUAGCUCUUUCUCCUCGCGUCGCGACAGAUUCUAGAAAGUUCGAGGAGCGUCUGUCCAGCUCCCGGAUCAAGGCCUUUUCAAUGUUGUACCAGUGACGUUGCAACUCCCGAAAUCAAGGCCACUAUUCAAUGCACUAUAUCAGGGCCUUUCAACGCCCCAUCAGUGCCUCACCAUCUCAACGACUCCUCAACCACCGAUCGUGCCCCCAUCAACGCCUCUCCAGUGACCUUUCAGCGCACCAUCCCAGCCACCGAUUGUUUCGCUGCCGACGCCGAGAUCUUCGCAUUCACAGUGGAGACAGUACUGUGGUUAAGCCAUAACCAGUGCACGAACAAGCAUCCAGGCAGAUUCGCAUCAACAGCAAUCUUUGCCAGAUUUUUUGGCACCUGCAAGCAAAAAAAGAAACCAGCAAAAAAGGCAAGAAACAAACAGCAGAAAAUAGAAACAAAAAUGGAAAGAAAUCUUUGAUUUUUUUCCUAAAAUUGUAAAAGUCUGAGGCUAUAAAGCCUCUCUUCAACUUGUAAACAGGGACGCUUAUUCACGCUGAAAAAGAGAGAAAGAUACACUAAGUACACUGAUAAAGGCUUACAUAUAGAAACAGAGAGAAACAAAAAAAGAGAAAUACAUAGAUUUACACACUUAGAAAGAAAAACACAAAAAGUUGUAUUCAUUUAAAACAGAGAAAUAAAAGCCAGUUUCCUGUUUUUGAGGUAAUCGAAUCGUUUUUUUUGCUUAUUUUUACUCACAUGUUCUUCUUCUUGCAUGUAUAUACAGAUUUUUUAAAAAAAAUAACUAAGGAAAACAAAGGGAGGAAGAGAUCACCUGAUGAUUGGCGAAGGAAAUGAGGGUUUUUUAAACCCUAGCCACCGUGUACGGUGGCCCAGACGGUGGUGCGUGGAGGCGCGUAUGAGCAAAACACGGUGGAGCCUUGGGAAGAGCCAGGACGGCCCUGUGGCCAGAGCUCCGAGGGCCAGAGGUUUUCUCAGAGAAUUUUUUUGUUUUUUUUUUGAAAUGCAGGUUGC
rnacentral:lncRNA from 1 species